GACGAACGCUGGCGGCGUGCUUAACACAUGCAAGUCGAACGGAAAGGCCCUGCGUUUGUGGGGUGCUCGAGUGGCGAACGGGUGAGUAACACGUGAGUAACCUGCCCUUGACUGUGGGAUAACUUCAGGAAACUGGGGCUAAUACCGGAUAGGAGCUCCUGCUGCAUGGUGGGGGUUGGAAAGUUUCGGCGGUUGGGGAUGGACUCGCGGCUUAUCAGCUUGUUGGUGGGGUAGUGGCUUACCAAGGCUUUGACGGGUAGCCGGCCUGAGAGGGUGACCGGCCACAUUGGGACUGAGAUACGGACCAGACUGCUACGGGAGGCAGCAGUGGGGAAUAUUGCACAAUGGGCGGAAGCCUGAUGCAGCAACGCCGCGUGCGGGAUGACGGCCUUCGGGUUGUAAACCGCUUUCGCCUGUGCCGAAGCGUGAGUGACGGUAAUGGGUAAAGAAGCACCGGCUAACUACGUG
rnacentral:rRNA from 1 species